rnacentral:rRNA from 1 species
GCAUAUCAAUAAGCGGAGGAAAAGAAACCAACAGGGAUUGCCCUAGUAACGGCGAGUGAAGCGGCAACAGCUCAAAUUUGAAAUCUGGCCCUUGCAGGGUCCGAGUUGUAAUUUGCAGAGGGCGCUUUGGCGUUGGCAGCGGUCCAAGUUCUUUGGAACAGGACGUCACAGAGGGUGAGAAUCCCGUACGUGGUCGCUAUCCUUCGCCGUGUAAAGCCCCUUCGACGAGUCGAGUUGUUUGGGAAUGCAGCUCUAAAUGGGAGGUAAAUUUCUUCUAAAGCUAAAUACUGGCCAGAGACCGAUAGCGCACAAGUAGAGUGAUCGAAAGAUGAAAAGCACUUUGGAAAGAGAGUCAAAUAGCACGUGAAAUUGUUGAAAGGGAAGCGCUUGCAGCCAGACUUGCCUGUAGUUGCUUAUCUGGACUUUUGUCCGGUGCACUCUUCUAUAGGCAGGCCAGCAUCAGUUUGGGCAGUUGGAUAAAGGUCUCUGUCACGUACCUCUCUUCGGGGAGAACUUAUAGGGGAGACGACAUGCAACUAGCCUGGACUGAGGUCCGCGCAUCUGCUAGGAUGCUGGCGUAAUGGCUGUAAGCGGCCCGUCUUGAAACACGGACCAAGGAGUCUAACAUCUAUGCGAGUGUUUGGGUGUCAAGCCCAGACGCGUAAUGAAAGUGAACGGAGGUGGGACCCCUUUGGGUGCACCAUCGACCGAUCCUGAUGUCUUCGGAAGGAUUUGAGUAAGAGCAUGGCUGUUGGGACCCGAAAGAUGGUGAACUAUGCUUGAAUAGGGUGAAGCCAGAGGAAACUCUGGUGGAGGCUCGCAGCGGUUCUGACGUGCAAAUCGAUCGUCAAAUUUGGGCAUAGGGGCGAAAGACUAAUCGAACUAUCUAGUAGCUGGUUCCUGCCGA